AGACGGAGGGCGCAAGCGUUGUUCGGAAUUACUGGGCGUAAAGCGCGGGCAGGUGGUCCGUUAAGUCGUUUGUGAAAAUCCGGGGCUCAACCCCGUGAAAUGCAGACGAUACUGGCGGCCUGGAGAUCGGUAGAGGCUAGCGGAAUUCCUGGUGUAGCGGUGGAAUGCGUAGAUAUCAGGAAGAACACCAGUGGCGAAGGCGGCUAGCUGGGCCGAGUCUGACACUCAUCCGCGAAAGCGUGGGGAGCAAACAGGAUUAGAAACCCCAGUAGUCC
rnacentral:rRNA from 1 species